rnacentral:rRNA from 1 species
AUUGAACGCUGGCGGCAGGCCUAACACAUGCAAGUCGASCGGUAACACAAGGGAGCUUGCUCCUGAGGUGACGAGCGGCGGACGGGUGAGUAAUGCCUAGGUAUCUGCCCAGUCGAGGGGGAUAACAGUUGGAAACGACUGCUAAUACCGCAUACGCCCUACGGGGGAAAGGAGGGGACCUUCGGGCCUUUCGCGAUUGGAUGAACCUAGGUGGGAUUAGCUAGUAGGUGGGGUAAUGGCUCACCUAGGCAACGAUCCCUAGCUGGUCUGAGAGGAUGAUCAGCCACACUGGAACUGAGACACGGUCCAGACUCCUACGGGAGGCAGCAGUGGGGAAUAUUGCACAAUGGGCGAAAGCCUGAUGCAGCCAUGCCGCGUGUAUGAAGAAGGCCUUCGGGUUGUAAAGUACUUUCAGCGAGGAGGAAAGCUCAAUUGUUAAUAGCGAUUGGGUGUGACGUUACUCGCAGAAGAAGCACCGGCUAACU